rnacentral:rRNA from 1 species
AUUGAACGCUGGCGGCAGGCCUAACACAUGCAAGUCGAGCGGGGUUUUCGGACCUAGCGGCGGACGGGUGAGUAAUGCGUAGGAAGCUACCCGAUAGAGGGGGAUACCAGUUGGAAACGACUGUUAAUACCGCAUAAUGUCUACGGACCAAAGUGUGGGACCUUCGGUGCACAUGCUAUCGGAUGCGCCUACGUGGGAUUAGCUAGUUGGUGAGGUAAUGGCUCACCAAGGCGACGAUCCCUAGCUGGUUUGAGAGGAUGAUCAGCCACACUGGAACUGAGACACGGUCCAGACUCCUACGGGAGGCAGCAGUGGGGAAUAUUGGACAAUGGGCGCAAGCCUGAUCCAGCCAUGCCGCGUGUGUGAAGAAGGCCUUCGGGUUGUAAAGCACUUUCAGUAGGGAGGAAGGGUUAAGUGUUAAUAGUACUUAACUUUGACGUUACCUACAGAAGAAGCACCGGCUAACUCUGUGCCAGCCGCCGCUGUAAAAC